GGGAUAUUGGUCAAUGGGCGAAAGCCUGAACCAGCGACGCCGCGUGGGUGAAGAAGGUCUUCGGAUCGUAAAGCCCUUUUCUGGGUGAAGAGACAAGGACGGUAGCCCAGGAAGAAGUCUCGGCUAACUACGUGCCAGCAGCCGCGGUAAAACGUAGGAGACAAGCGUUAUCCGGAGUUACUGGGCGUAAAGGGCGUGCAGGCGGCGCAUUAAGUCUGUUGUGAAAGCGCCUGGCUUAACCGGGCGAGGCCAAUGGAGACUGAUGGGCUUGAGGACGGCGGAGGGGUGUGGAAUUCCGGGUGUAGUGGUGAAAUGCGUAGAGAUCCGGAGGAACACCAGAGGCGAAGGCGGCACCCUAAGCCGUACCUGACGCUGAGACGCGACAGCACGGGGAGCAAA
rnacentral:rRNA from 1 species